rnacentral:rRNA from 1 species
UUUCAUGAGAGUUUGAUCCUGGCUCAGGACGAACGCUGGCGGCAUGCCUAAUACAUGCAAGUCGAGCGAACCGACGAAGUGCUUGCA